UUGUCAUUAGCUCAGUUGGUAGAGCAGUGGACUUUUAAUCCAUUGGUCGAUGGUUCAAGUCCAUCAUGACCCACCA
rnacentral:tRNA from 1 species